UACAGAGGGUGCGAGCGUUGUUCGGAAUUAUUGGGCGUAAAGCGCUUGUAGGCGGCCUGUCAAGUCGCGUGUGAAAUCCCCAGGCUUAACCUGGGAAGUGCGCGCGAAACUGACGAGCUUGAGUGCCGGAGAGGGUCGCGGAAUUCCCGGUGUAGAGGUGAAAUUCGUAGAUAUCGGGAGGAACACCAGUGGCGAAGGCGGCGACUUGGACGGACACUGACGCUGAGACGCGAAAGCGUGGGGAGCAAACAGG
rnacentral:rRNA from 1 species